GACUCUAGAAACAGCGCCCCAGUCCAAAUGAAAUCAUAUUUACACAUGGAGGACCAGAGAACAGACUUAUGUUAGCAACUACACACAGAAAUAGAGAUCUUGACGAGAACAUGAAUGAGAUAAGACGGUUAUGUCUAUAAUGUUGUAAACCUCUUGACCCUGUGUUUUAUUUAAUUGAAUUGUUCAGCGUUAGGAUGCAGAACCAAAGGCAGGUUGAGGUUUAAACACUUGACUGCAAGAAGAGAUGAAGAAACAGCGUAGGAUAUUUCACAAACACAUCAAAGUCAUCCGGGUUGGAUGACUUUCCAAGGUUGAAUAUAAAAUCAGGGGCCCCAAGAGCAGUAACCUCAUCAACGAUUCCAAUUGCUGCAGAAGAACAGAACCAGUGAAGAUCAACCUUCUAGACAUGGCUCAAGUGAACUUUAAACUGGUGGUGACUGCUGAUGGCAAGAGUAUUGAAUACAAACCUACUACGGACUGCAACCAGAUACUCCUGUGGGCAUUGACAGAUUUGAAAGAUUCCGUCUCAAACUUCAGUUUCGAAUGUGGAAGCAAAUUUGGAAUGCCACCCUAUUUGACCCGGGUGACUUUUGGUAAUAAUAUUAUUACCAAAACUGAGAACAGCUUCUGGCAAGUUCUGGUCAAAAACCACAACAUGAUCACACCUGUUGGACUCUGCAACUACCGUGUCCAGGACAGUGACGUGAUCAUCCUGCGCCACAUGACCGUGUGAUCCUGACUGUGGCGCCAUUUUCCUUCAGGGUCCUGAAUAACACUGAGUGCUGCUCGACACUCAUUAAACAUGAUGAUCAUCUAAUCUGAAGAUAUCAAAUGUAAAAAUGUGUUUAAUUCAACAAAUGUAGAAAUGAUUUGGAAGUGAAUCAUAUAAAUUGGAAUAAAGGAUUGAAAUUAUCUCAUGCGUAUCAUUUCACUGUUUUUGCACACACUCACUCACAGUAACCAGCCCUCACUUCCUACCGUCCUAUCUCUUGGAUGUACACAAAAACAGAUCUUCACGUAUAUUUAUAUAGUUAUGAAGUUAUUAACAUGGUUCUUUAUAGUUAUUAUUAAUACAGAUAUAGAUAAUUAGCAUUAAUAUAGUUCCGUUUACAUUAAACUGCCUCCAUAAUAGAUUUUUUUCUUAAAAUAAGAUUUGUAAACGAAAUAGUACAAAACAUUACAUUUAAUUGAAUGUAUUCAUUUUUAACCAAACAGUAGAGGUUCAUUACCAUUUGAAAGCUGUGCAAAGAAUUUAUAUAUACAGAGAAAUGUCACAUAAUGCACAUAAAUCUUGUGUAUUCAAGGGUGUGUUUGUGUGUUUCUAUGCAGUGUGUGUGUGUGUGUGUGUGUGUGUGUGUGUGUGUGUGUGUGUGUGUGUGUGUGUGUGUGUGUGUGUGUGUGUGUGUGUGUGUGUGUGUGUGUGUGCUUUGGAAUGAAUAAGCAUGUGUUUUUGUGUGCGUGUUUUAUAGGAGUGUGUGUGUGUGUUAUAGGUUUUGUGUGUCUCACAAAAACAUGGGUGUUGCAACUUACUUCGGCUUUACUUUUGCUCACAAUUGCUUUGAAAGGCCUUGCCAGACCAUUGCAUAAUAGGAACUAUCAUCCGAUAUGUCUUUCGUCCUUCUACGUUAAGAUAUGUCUUUUGUCCCUCUACGUUAAUGUUUGCAGAUAGCGAGAAAAGAAAGUGUCGGAAAGAGAAUGUACGCUGUAUGCAAGAGUGCUCACCAAUACUUACCCUUCAUGCAGCAGUUGUCCAAUCAACCGCUGCAGUGUGUAAACUGUGUGACGACCUGGCUCCAGUGGUUAUCACGCAGGUUGCCGCAGGUGUUGAUGUCGUCCGUCAGAAUGGCCUCCUCAGCUCUGCUCUCGUUUCUCCUGCUGCUCUCUCUCUCAGGGAUGCUCGCCCAAAGUAAGCCUUGAAACGACUCCACACACAUUCAGACCUCCCUCCCCCCACCCGUUGGGUUCAAUGUGACAAUAGGUCAUUUUAGUUUUGUCUUUACGUGUUUUUGUCCUUAGUACCUGAAUGGAGACUGUGACUCACUGUUUAGGACUUGAAGACCUUUAGAACUGUUUUCUAAAGGGUCGCCAGGUUUUGAGUUGAGUUGAGCAUUAUCGUACUUUCUUUGGAAACCUCACUGAACAUAAACAAAGUAGCCACUCCUUGUCCACAACAUGACACCGUUCUAUGGUGAGUUUGGUCUUCAAUGAUCCACCAACUGUGACCAGAUGGAGGCCAGCUGCCCUUCAACCUGGUGGUGGUGGACGACCUACCCAACAGCAAACCAAUGAUGUACUCCGCACAGAGGCCUUCUGAACGGGCCCAUGAUCAGGCUCGCAAGGUCAGCCCACUCACAAAUCAUGAUUGUUUUGGAAGCCUCACUGAACACACAACAUAGAACCCACUCCUUGUCCACAACAUGGCGCUGUUCUGUGGUGAGUUUUACUUUCCAAAUGAAAAACAAUCGUUCAGUUAAAAAAAUAUAUAUUAAGUCACUUCUUGCUAUGGAUCUUAACUAAAACUCCCUGCUGAGAGACUUGACUUGGACUCCCUGCUGACUGACUCCCUUCAGAUAC
ensembl:lncRNA